rfam:Oryza sativa (indica cultivar-group) chromosome 3, whole genome shotgun sequence.
AAAAAAUCAAACCCUGGGUUUUCGUGUCCAACUUUGACUGUCAAUCUUAUAUAAAAUUUUUUUAUAAUUCGUAUUUUCAUUGUUGUUAGAUGAUAAAACAUGAUUAAUAUUUUAUGCGUGACUUGUCUUUUUAAUUUUUUUUAUAAUUUUUUUAAAUUAGACGAAUGGUCAAACGUUAGACACGGAAACCAGAGUUUGUCUUUUUU